GUGGGGAAUCUUCCGCAAUGGACGAAAGUCUGACGGAGCAACGCCGCGUGAGUGAUGAAGGUUUUCGGAUUGUAAACCUCUGUCCUAUGGGAAGAAGGAAGUGACGGUACCAUAGGAGGAAGCCCCGGCUAACUACGUGCCAGCAGCCGCGGUAAUACGUAGGGGGCUAGCGUUGCUCGGAAUUACUGGGCGUAACGGGCGCGUAGGCGGACAGCUUAGUCAGAGGUGAAAGCCCAGGGCUCAACCUUGGACUUGCCUUUGAGACUGGCUGUCUUGAGUUUGGGAGAGGUGAGUGGAACUCCGAGUGUAGAGGUGAAAUUCGUAGAUAUUCGGAAGAACACCAGUGGCGAAGGCGACUCACUGGCCCAAUACUGACGCUGAGGCGCGAAAGCGUGGGGAGCAAACAGGAUUAGAAACCCUAGUAGUCC
rnacentral:rRNA from 1 species